rnacentral:rRNA from 1 species
AUCGGGGCAGGGUGAGUCGACCCCUAAGGCGAGGCCGAAAGGCGUAGUCGAUGGGAAACAGGUUAAUAUUCCUGUACUUGGUGUUACUGCGAAGGGGGGACGGAGAAGGCUAUGUUAGCCGGGCGACGGUUGUCCCGGUUUAAGCAUGUAGGCUGGUUAUCCAGGCAAAUCCGGAUAACCAAGGCUGAGGUGUGAUGACGAGGCACUACGGUGCUGAAGUAACAAAUGCCCUGCUUCCAGGAAAAGCCUCUAAGCAUCAGGUAACAUCAAAUCGUACCCCAAACCGACACAGGUGGUCAGGUAGAGAAUACCAAGGCGCUUGAGAGAACUCGGGUGAAGGAACUAGGCAAAAUGGUGCCGUAACUUCGGGAGAAGGCACGCUGGUGUGUAGGUGAAGUCCCUGCGGAUGGAGCUGAGACCAGUCGAAGAUACCAGCUGGCUGCAACUGUUUAUUAAAAACACAGCACUGUGCAAACACGAAAGUGGACGUAUACGGUGUGACGCCUGCCCGGUGCCGGAAGGUUAAUUGAUGGGGUUAUCCGUAAGGAGAAGCUCUUGAUCGAAGCCCCGGUAAACGGCGGCCGUAACUAUAACGGUCCUAAGGUAGCGAAAUUCCUUGUCGGGUAAGUUCCGACCUGCACGAAUGGCGUAAUGAUGGCCAGGCUGUCUCCACCCGAGACUCAGUGAAAUUGAACUCGCUGUGAAGAUGCAGUGUACCCGCGGCAAGACGGAAAGACCCCGUGAACCUUUACUAUAGCUUGACACUGAACAUUGAGCCUUGAUGUGUAGGAUAGGUGGGAGGCUUUGAAGCGUGGACGCCAGUCUGCGUGGAGCCAACCUUGAAAUACCACCCUUUAAUGUUUGAUGUUCUAACGUUGGCCCCUGACCGGGGUUGCGGACAGUGUCUGGUGGGUAGUUUGACUGGGGCGGUCUCCUCCCAAAGCGUAACGGAGGAGCACGAAGGUUAGCUAAUCCUGGUCGGACAUCAGGAGGUUAGUGCAAUGGCAUAAGCUAGCUUGACUGCGAGCGUGACGGCGCGAGCAGGUGCGAAAGCAGGUCAUAGUGAUCCGGUGGUUCUGAAUGGAAGGGCCAUCGCUCAACGGAUAAAAGGUACUCCGGGGAUAACAGGCUGAUACCGCCCAAGAGUUCAUAUCGACGGCGGUGUUUGGCACCUCGAUGUCGGCUCAUCACAUCCUGGGGCUGAAGUAGGUCCCAAGGGUAUGGCUGUUCGCCAUUUAAAGUGGUACGCGAGCUGGGUUUAGAACGUCGUGAGACAGUUCGGUCCCUAUCUGCCGUGGGCGCUGGAGAAUUGAGGGGGGCUGCUCCUAGUACGAGAGGACCGGAGUGGACGCAUCACUGGUGUUCGGGUUGUCAUGCCAAUGGCA